AAUGAACGUUGGCGGCAUGGAUUAGGCAUGCAAGUCGGGGGAAUCCCAGCAAUGGGGGAACCGGCGUAAGGGGCAGUAAGGCAUGGGCACCUACCUUGGGGUUCGGGAUAGCCAUCAGAGAUGGUGGGUAAUACCGGAUGACGUCGUGAGACCAAAGAUUUAUCGCCCUUAGAGGGGCCCAUGUGAUAUUAGCUAGUUGGUGGGGUAACGGCCCACCAAGACGAAGAUGUCUAGCGGGUGUGAGAGCACGACCCGCGCCACUCGCUCUGAGACACUGGCGAGACACCUACGGGUGGCUGCAGUCGAGGAUCUUCGGCAAUGAGCGCAAGCUUGACCGAGCGAUGCCGCGUGAGCGAUGAAGGCCUUCGGGUUGUAAAGCUCUUUAGUGGGGGAGAAAAGCCGCAAGGUGUGAUCUAUCCCAAAAAUAAGCACGGGCUAAGUUCGUGCCAGCCGCCGCCGUAA
rnacentral:rRNA from 1 species